rnacentral:rRNA from 1 species
GUAGACCUCAAGCGUUAUCCGGAUUUAUUGGGCGUAAAGGGUGUGUAGGAGGUUUUGUAAGUCAGAUGUUAAAUUUCGGGGCCUAACUUCGAAACCGCAUUUGAUACUGCAAGACUAGAGGGUGCAAGAGGUAUGCGGAACGCACGGUGUAGGGGUGACAUCCGUUGAUAUCGUGCGGAACACCAAAGGCGAAGGCAGCAUACUGGGGCACUCCUGACUCUGAAACACGAAAGCGUGGGGAGCAAAAAGGAUUAGAUACCCUUGUAGUCCACGCCCUAAACGAUGCCUGCUAGCUGUUUCGAAUAUCGACCCUCGGAGUGGCGAAGCUAACGCGUUAAGCAGGCCGCCUGGGAAGUACGGUCGCAAGACUA